GUCCAACUGAGGAGUCUCAAAUAAGACAAAACGCGCGUCCUGGAA
rnacentral:hammerhead_ribozyme from 1 species